rnacentral:rRNA from 1 species
CCUACGGGAGGCAGCAGUGAGGAAUAUUGGUCCAUGGACGAGAGUCUGAACCAGCCAAGUCGCGUGAAGGAUGACUGCCCUAUGGGUUGUAAACUUCUUUUAUCAAGGAAUAAAACGAGGCACGUGUGCCUUUUUGCAUGUACUCUAUGAAUAAGGAUCGGCUAACUCCGUGCCAGCAGCCGCGGUAAUACGGAGGAUCCGCGCGUUAUCCGGAUUUAUUGGGUUUAAAGGGAGCGUAGAUGGGUUGUUAAGUCAGUUGUGAAAGUUUGCGGCUCAACCGUAAAAUUGCAAUUGAUACUGGCAGUCUUGAGUACAGUUGAGGUAAGCGGAAUGCGUGGUGUAGCGGUGAAAUGCUUAGAUAUCACGCAGAACCCCGAUUGCGAAGGCAGCUUACUAAACUGUAACUGACAUUGAUGCACGAAAGUGUGGGUAUCAAACAGGAUUAGAUACCCCAGUAGUC